UACGAAGGGGGCUAGCGUUGCUCGGAAUCACUGGGCGUAAAGCGCACGUAGGCGGCUUCUUAAGUCAGGGGUGAAAUCCUGGAGCUCAACUCCAGAACUGCCUUUGAUACUGAGAGGCUUGAGUCCGGGAGAGGUGAGUGGAACUGCGAGUGUAGAGGUGAAAUUCGUAGAUAUUCGGAAGAACACCAGUGGCGAAGGCGACUCACUGGCCCGUUACUGACGCUGAGGCGCGAAAGCGUGGGGAGCAAACAGG
rnacentral:rRNA from 1 species